rnacentral:rRNA from 1 species
AAUCAACGCUGGCGGCGUGCCUCAGACAUGCAAGUCGAACGAUUAAAGCUCUCUUCGGAGAGUGCAUAGAGUGGCGCACGGGUGAGUAACACGUAAGUAAUCUACCCUCGAGUGGGGAAUAACGUCCGGAAACGGACGCUAAUACCGCAUAAUGCAGCGGCACCGCAAGGUGACAGUUGUUAAAGGAGAAAUUCGCUUGAGGAGGGGCUUGCGGCAGAUUAGCNGUUGGUAAGGUAACGGCUUACCAAGGCUACGAUCUGUAACCGGUCUUAGAGGACGGUCGGUCACACUGACACUGAAUAACGGGUCAGACUCCUACGGGAGGCAGCAGUCGGGAAUUUUGGGCAAUGGGCGAAAGCCUGACCCAGCAACGCCGCGUGAA